UACGAAGGGGGCUAGCGUUGUUCGGAUUUACUGGGCGUAAAGCGCACGUAGGCGGAUCUUUAAGUCAGAGGUGAAAUCCCAAGGCUCAACCUUGGAACUGCCUUUGAUACUGGGGAUCUUGAGUCCGGGAGAGGUGAGUGGAACUGCGAGUGUAGAGGUGAAAUUCGUAGAUAUUCGCAAGAACACCAGUGGCGAAGGCGGCUCACUGGCCCGGUUCUGACGCUGAGGCGCGAAAGCGUGGGGAGCAAACGGG
rnacentral:rRNA from 1 species